UUUUUUUCAAUAAUGGCUCUAUUCUCUCGUCUCCGAAUUCACCCUCUAAUCAGAAACAGGCGCUACUUCUCGACAAUCCUCUCUCCAGGUUCCACCACCCCUCUCUCGUCCAAGGAGAAAACCAGAGCCGCGCUUUCUCUUCUAAAAUCGGAAGAAAACCCAGAAAAGAUCGUUGAAAUCUGCCGUGCAGCUUCUCUGACCCCUGAAUCUCACUUGGACCGGAUAGCCUUCUCCGUCGCCAUCUCCAAGCUUUCCAAAUCCAAUCAUUUCUCCUACAUCCAGCAGUUUCUCGACGAUCUCCGCUCUUC
rnacentral:misc_RNA from 1 species